GGAUGUGGGGGUGACGUGGUUAGGACAUCCAUCCCCCUACAGAUUACCUCUAUUGAUAAGGAUGAUAUGGUUUGCUAGGUAAGUGUGCCCUACCUCCUUCAUCACCCCUGUACAUCUCUCCUAAAGCUAUAGUUUUACCCAAUACAGAAAGGAGGACAGUUUUUCCAUCAAAGGUAUAGUUAAGUAGCAGUGCUCCCCUGACAAAUCCUCCAAAGAAACACAGGAAACAAAAGCAAAAUCAGAUAAAUGAAACUAUAUCAAACUACAAGCAUCUUU
rnacentral:snRNA from 1 species